rnacentral:lncRNA from 1 species
AGGGCGGCCCCAGGCGGAACGCCUCGCUUUGAGGUCCCGAGCCUCCCCACGAGGACACACUCCCACGACGACACUGUUCUGGGGAGCGGCCGUGAGGGUGGGGGAGAAGAGAGAGCAGCCUCGCGUGCUGAGCGAAGGCCUCUUCUCCCUCCGCCUCACGAUGUGUCCGCGUCCAACUCCAACCCUCGCGGCCCGUUUGAAAUCUCACGCGCAGGCGCGCAGGGCCUGCACAGGGCCCAGACCAAACGAGCGCUUCUCGUGACGGGCAGAACUCGCCUGUCCCGUCUCCCUCCCCAGCGCGGGAGGUGGCCCCCGUCUCCUUCCCGGCCCAGAAGGCGGGAACGAGGAGCCCACCUACCUGCAACCGCUUCAGCCCUCCCGCGAGGGGGUCAACCACAGAGAGCCCUCAGCGAGCCCUUCUUCCCGUCUUCCUCAGAAACAACCGCGGCCGAUGAGAAACUGCAACUGGCUGAGACUCCCACGUCCAGUGAAAACUUGUUGACAAAGCCAAGAUCUUCUGCCAGAUACUCCAUGAAACAGCAGUUAGGCAAUGUCUUCUUAGCUUUGCCAUUGCAGCUUAUCAUCUCGUAUUUCCUUUUUUUGGAAAGGCAUGUGGACUGAGUGGAACAAGUCCCAGCAUUCACUUUCUGAGCAAGUGAGGAAAAGUAAUUUGGGAACCAACUAGCCAUAAGUCUCAUGAGAUUAGAAAGCAGAAGCCCAGAGGUAGAAAGUCAGCAAGUAUUGAAGACUCUACAACUGUAGCAAAUCUGUUCUCUUCUGUUCUG